AAGAUGGGACACAGUGUUUGCGCUCUCUCUCUCUCUCUCUCUCUCUGUGUGUGUGUGUGUGUGUGUGAGAGAGAGAGAGAGAGAGAGAGAGAGAGAGAGAGAGAGAGAGAGAGAGAAUUGGUUUUAUAUC